AAAUAAAGCAGUGGCACAGGAGGGUGGAUCAUUUCAACAGAAAUAGAGAAACCUGAACCCAAGGUGGCCCUGCCUUCUUCCUCAGAAGAGUCCACCAAGGAGAGUCCCCUGCCACUAUCUGCCUUUGCAGCGGCCAGCCCAUAAGCAGCUUGAAGUGGGUGGUGUGUGACUGCUUCAGGCUUGAGACAUGAAGACAGAAUUCUUCCGUGAUAUAUCAACCCGCCUGUGGAACUUGAAAGCUGGUUUCAAAUGACUCAACUGGUAGAGUGUUGGGCAGAGUAUGCCUGAGGUCCCUGCCUUCUUUACUCCCUCUGUUUGUCUCACGUGAAGUUCUCGCUCAUAUGUCAUCAAUAAAAUAAAUCUUUUUAAAAAUCA